UACGAAGGGGGCUAGCGUUGCUCGGAAUCACUGGGCGUAAAGCGCACGUAGGCGGCUUCUUAAGUCAGGGGUGAAAUCCUGGAGCUCAACUCCAGAACUGCCUUUGAUACUGAGGAGCUCGAGUCCGGGAGAGGUGAGUGGAACUCCGAGUGUAGAGGUGAAAUUCGUAGAUAUUCGGAAGAACACCAGUGGCGAAGGCGGCUCACUGGCCCGGUACUGACGCUGAGGUGCGAAAGCGUGGGGAGCAAACAGGG
rnacentral:rRNA from 1 species